UGCUGACUGGCUUUCACUUCCUCUCUUCUCAGGGCUCUCGGGACCCAGGGGAGAUGCUACCACGGAAGCUGAAACG